rnacentral:snRNA from 1 species
GUCCUUACUUGGUAAGUACAUAUACUCAAAUUGGAGCAAUACAGAGUUUAGCACAACCACUAUGAAAAGAUGACACACAAAUUUGUGAAGUGUUUCAUAUUUUU